UAUGGCAAGGAUUAAUUAAUAUGUUAAUUAAUCAAACAAAUAAGUUCGUUAAAGACCUCAGGAUAGUUUUGGACCUUAAGGCCCAAUGGGCUUCGAACGUCAAGCCCAUUGACUUAAGUUGUAUGACAACUUAAUGAAUAAUGAUUCACAAAGGCCCAAUUAGCCCAAUAAUACCCUAAGGCCGGCCAUUCAGAGAUGGAGUGAGUUUUGGACUUAUUUACAAGUUUGCCACUCCAACGAAUUAAGGUAUAAAUAUGACUUUAUAGCCAAAAUUCAUUUAGGGUUUUCUUUUGGGGAAAUGAUGAGAACAUAAGCUCUCAUUUCUCUCUAAAGUGGCCGGCCUCCUUGGAGGGUUUAGCUAGCAAUCCUACUACUCCAAGGUCACUCAUUUCUUCUCCAAUCUAACCUUGGUGAAGAGACUUAGAGGUUCUCAAUUUUGGGAACUUGGAGAAACCUAUUCCUCCAUCCAAAUCCAUGGAUCUAAGAAGCAAGGAAUGAAGGCCCUAUCUCUUGGGUGAUUAUCCUUUGCUUAUGCAAAGAGGAAUCAACAAAGGUAUAAUUUCUCAACUCACUUAAUUUUGAGUUGAGUCUUGGUUCACCAAACUACUAGGCUUUGAAUUUCAUGGGUAAUGUUUUGUUUUUGAGUGAAUACAAGCAUGAUUCCGCCUUUAAUUUGUUAAUUGCAUGCUAUAGAUGUUAUUCAAAUGAACAUGUUUUUCACAAAAUUUCCUUCAGUGACACUAAGACAAGUAUGUAAGUGCUCAUUAAGGGA
rnacentral:lncRNA from 1 species